UCUUGGAAGGUUAUAAUAAUGGAUUUAAUGGUGCUCCGUGGGAUGUUCAAAGUUUCAGAUAUUUUUUUUAUAACCCAACCCUGAUCUGUACUUCUCCACAACUUUGUCCCUGAUCUGUUUGGAGAGCUCCUUGCUCUUCAUGGUGCCGCUUGCUUAGUGGUGCCCCUUGCUUAGUGGUAUACUCAGAUCAUGUGACAGAUCAUGUGACAGAUUGCACACAGGUUGACUUUAUUUAACUAAUUAUGUGACUUCUGAAGGUAAUUGGUUGCACCAGAUCUUAUUUAGGGGCUUCAUAGCAAAGGGGGUGAAUACAUACUGUGGCAAAGAAGGGGGUCGAGUGAUAAAUGGCAGAUAUGUGAGAGCAGAACUAAUAAACGGGCUCUGCCCGAUCACUAAAAUGGCCACCCCGAUCAGAACUACAGAUCACAAAAUGGCCGACUGCCAAAACUACAAGUCCCAGAAGCAAGUGGAACCCUCAGAAGGUGGAGCCAACACACGAAUAAAGGGUCAAGAAAAACCAGGAAGUGAAGUGAGGGCUGGAAAGAUCUGUGAACCAUAGAGAAAGAGACAAUAGAUAUUGGCUGGAUUUACUGUGUAUGAGCUGGACUGUUUUGGACUUACCUGUUGGCGUUUGGACCUGGACCUACUGAGAACCCGAUUCGUGUACCGAACCCUGCUAUCCUUGACCUUGCCUACGACCUGGGUGGACCAGGACGGAGAGACAAACACACAGACUCCCAAGACCAAAACCCAACGUUAACCACGUUGUCAACAGCCCUGAAAUGCCAGAAGAGAACAUGCCACCAUUCAAACUCUACUAAUCAUCACAUCCACGCAAGGUGUCGCCCAUCUCUCCCACUUAUCUCUGGGUAUUUAUACCUGUGUUUUCUGUCUGUCUGUGCCAGUUCAUCUUGUUUGUCAAGUUUACCAGCAUUUGUCCUGUCAGCUUCUGUCUUUCCCAGCCUAUAUUUUUCUCGUCCUCCUGGUUGUUGAACCUUGCCUGUCCUGACCCUGUACCCGCCCGCCUGACCACUCUGCCUGACCCUGACCCUGCCUGCCGUCCUGUACCUUUGCUCCACCUCUGGAUUACUGAACUCUGCCUGUCCCUGACCCUGAGCCUGCCUGCCGUCCUGUACAUUUGCUCCACCUCUGGAUUACUGAACUGUGCCUGUCCCUGACCCUGAGCCUGCCUGCCGUCCUGUACAUUUGCUCCACCUCUGGAUUACUGAACUCUGCCUUUCCCUGACCCUGAGCCUGCCUGCCGUCCUGUACCUUUGCUCCACCUCUGGAUUACUGAACUCUGCCUGUCCCUGACCCUGAGCCUGCCUGCCGUCCUGUACAUUUGCUCCACCUCUGGAUUACUGAACUCUGCCUGUCCCUGAGCCUGCCUGCCGUCCUGUACAUUUGCUCCACCUCUGGAUUACUGAACUCUGCCUGUCCCUGACCCUGAGCCUGCCUGCCGUCCUGUACCUUUGGUCCUACUCUGGAUUAUCGACCCAUGCCUGCCUUGACCUGUCGUUUGCCUGCCCCUGUUACAAUAAACAUUGUUACUUCA